AUACCAUGAGGACUCAUUGAGGUCAUUUAUGUCAGACUGCAUCCAGGAUUUUCUUGUAUUUUGCUGCAUUCAUUUUACCCUGAGCCCUCUCAAGCCCUCCACAGCCUGAAGCUGCCACCCACCUUGGUUCAUGGUGACAACGUUUUCUGUGGUGGCGAUCUGUUUCUCCACCAUCUAAUCA